rnacentral:rRNA from 1 species
AUGGCCGCUUCCCUCUUCCGCCUCUCCCGGCCCCGCCGCGUGCUCCUCCCCUUGUCCGCCCUCCGCCUCCCUCUCUCCACCCAGCCCCUCCCGCAGCCCCGGGACCCGUCCUCCCCCAAUUCCAACCGCGGCCUUCCUGCCUUCCUCUCCUUCCUCGCCGCCGCAGCCGCAGGCGGAAUCACCGGUUCCGUCGCUCUCUGCGAUGCCGCCCCCGACCACCGGGUCGGCGGGAAAGACAGCACCGAGCUGGUGGUGCGUGGGGAGCGCAAGCGCGUGCCACAGCAGUUCAUAGAAGAGCUCGCAUCCUUCCUCGGGGAGAACCUGACGGUGGAUUACGAGGAGAGGAGCUUCCACGGGACGCCGCAGAAUAGCUUCCACAAGGCAGUCAACGUGCCCGACGUCGUCGUCUUCCCAAAGUCCCAGUAUGAGGUACGGAAGAUUGUGAUGACUUGUAAUAAGUACAAGGUGCCAAUUGUACCAUAUGGUGGGGCUACAUCAAUUGAGGGACAUACGUUGGCACCUCAUGGUGGUGUUUGCAUUGACAUGUCUUCAAUGAAGAAAAUCAAAUCUCUGCAUGUUGAGGAUAUGGAUGUUGUAGUUGAACCAGGAGUUGGAUGGAUUGAGCUGAAUGAAUACCUGAAACCCCAUGGUCUCUUUUUCCCUCUUGACCCAGUCCUGGGUUCGACGCAGCCUCUAUGCAUUGCUCUGCGCAGGGGACCUGGAGCCACUAUUGGUGGAAUGUGCGCUACACGAUGUUCUGGUUCAUUAGCCGUGAGGUAUGGAACUAUGCGGGACAAUGUUAUCAAUCUUCAGGCUGUUCUACCAGAUGGCGACGUUGUCAAGACCGGUUCUCGGGCUCGAAAGAGUGCAGCUGGAUAUGACCUAACUCGGUUGAUCAUUGGAAGUGAAGGGACUUUAGGGGUAAUUACAGAAGUGACUUUACGACUUCAAAAGCUUCCAUCUCAUUCCGUGGUUGCUAUGUGCAAUUUUCAAACGGUUAAGGAUGCUGCUGAUGUUGCUAUUGCAUCAAUGCAUUCUGGCAUACAGGUCUCGAGAGUGGAAUUGUUAGAUGAGGUUCAGAUAAGGGCAAUAAACAUGGCAAACGGUAAAAGCUUGCCUGAAGUGCCGACCUUGAUGUUUGAAUUCAUAGGGACAGAAGCAUAUGCACUUGAACAAACACUGUUGGUUCAAAAGAUUGCUGCAGAGCACCAUGGUUCUGAUUUUGUUUUUGUGGAGGAGCCGAAUGCUAAAGAGGAACUGUGGAAGAUCAGGAAGGAGGCACUUUGGGCUGGGUUUGCCAUGAAACCUGAUCAUGAAGCUAUGAUAACGGACGUUUGUGUUCCAUUGUCUAGACUUGCAGAAUGCAUAUCUGUAUCUAAGCAACUACUUGAUGCGUCACCAUUGACUUGUUUGGUUAUCGCCCAUGCCGGUGACGGAAAUUUCCACACAAUUAUCCUAUUUGAUCCAAGCCAGGAGGAAGAGCGAAGGGAAGCAGAGAGACUAAACCAUUUCAUGGUUCAUACUGCUCUGUCCAUGGAAGGUACAUGCACAGGAGAGCAUGGUGUUGGCACAGGGAAAAUGAAGUACCUGGAGAAGGAGCUGGGGAUGGAGUCACUGAGGACGAUGAAAAGGAUAAAGGCCGCGCUGGAUCCCAACAACAUCAUGAAUCCAGGAAAGCUCAUCCCACCCCACGUCUGCAUCUGA